rnacentral:rRNA from 1 species
GCCGAACGGAAAGGCCUUUUCGGAGGUACUCGAGUGGCGAACGGGUGAGUAACACGUGGGUGAUCUGCCCUGCACUCUGGGAUAAGCCUGGGAAACUGGGUCUAAUACCGGAUAGGACCGCACUUUAGUGUGUGUGGUGGAAAGUUCUUUCGGUGUAGGAUGAGCCCGCGGCCUAUCAGCUUGUUGGUGGGGUAAUGGCCUACCAAGGCGGCGACGGGUAGCCGGACUGAGAGGUCGGUCGGCCACAUUGGGACUGAGAUACGGCCCAGACUCCUACGGGAGGCAGCAGUGGGGAAUAUUGCACAAUGGGCGCAAGCCUGAUGCAGCGACGCCGCGUGGGGGAUGACGGCCUUCGGGUUGUAAACUCCUUUCGCCAGGGACGGAGCGUUUUGUGACGGUACCUGGAGAAGAAGCACCGGCUAACUACGUGCCAGCAGCCGCGGUAAUACGUAGGGUGCAAGCGUUGUCCGGAAUUACUGGGCGUAAAGAGCUCGUAGGUGGUUUGUCACGUCGUCUGUGAAAUUCCACAGCUUAACUGUGGGCGUGCAGGCGAUACGGGCUGACUUGAGUACUGUAGGGGUAACUGGAAUUCCUGGUGUAGCGGUGAAAUGCGCAGAUAUCAGGAGGAACACCGAUGGCGAAGGCAGGUUACUGGGCAGUUACUGACGCUGAGGAGCGAAAGCAUGGGUAGCAAACAGGAUUA